rnacentral:rRNA from 1 species
AUACGGAGGGGACUAGCGUUGUUCGGAAUUACUGGGCGUAAAGAGUACGUAGGCGGUCUAUCAAGUUGGGUGUGAAAGCCCGGGGCUCAACCCCGGAACUGCACUCAAAACUGAUAAACUAGAGAUCGGAAGAGGUAAGUGGAAUUCCCAGUGUAGAGGUGAAAUUCGUAGAUAUUGGGAAGAACACCAGUGGCGAAGGCGGCUUACUGGUCCGAGACUGACGCUGAGGUACGAAAGUGUGGGGAGCAAACAGGAUUAGAUACCCUAGUAGUCC